CCCGCGCAAGCGGUGAGCAUGUGGUUAAUUCGAUGAUACGCGAAGAACCUUACCGGGGUUUGACAUGCAGGUGAUCGCCGUUGAAAGACGGUUUUCCCUCUUCGGAGGCACCUGCACAGGUGCUGCAUGGCUGUCGUCAGCUCGUGUCGUGAGAUGUUGGGUUAAGUCCCGCAACGAGCGCAACCCUUAUCCCUAGUUGCCAUCAGGUAAAGCUGGGAACUCUGGGGAGACUGCCGGUGAUAAACCGGAGGAAGGCGGGGAUGACGUCAAGUCCUCAUGGCCCUUACAUCCCGGGCUACACACGUGCUACAAUGGCAGGUACAGAGGGCUGCGAAGCCGCGAGGUGGAGCGAAUCCCAGAAAACCUGUCUCAGUCCGGAUUGAAGUCUGCAACUCGACUUCAUGAAGGCGGAAUCGCUAGUAACCGCGAAUCAGCAGGUCGCGGUGAAUACGUUCCCGGGCCUU
rnacentral:rRNA from 1 species